rnacentral:rRNA from 1 species
GAUGAACGCUGGCGGCGUGCUUAACACAUGCAAGUCGAACGGGAAACCUUUUAUUGCUGCUUCGGCAGAUUUAGCUGGUUUCUAGGGGCGGAGGGGAGAGUAACGCGUGGGUAACCUGCCUUAUACAGGGGGAUAACAACCAGAAAUGGUUGCUAAUACCGCAUAAGCGCACGGGACCGCAUGGUCCGGCGUGAACAACUCCGGUGGGAUAAGAUGGAUCCGCGUUGGAUUAGCUAGUUGGCAGGGUAACGGCGUACCAAGGCGACGAUCCAUAGCCGGCCUGAGAGGGUGGACGGACACAUUGGGGCUGAGACACAGCCCAGACUCCUACGGGAGGCAGGAGUGGGGAAUAUUGCACAAUGGGGGAGACGCUGAUGCAGCGACGCCGCGUGAAGGAAGAAGUAUCUCGGUAUGUAAACUUCUAUCAGCAGGGAAGAUAGUGACGGUACCUGACUAAGAAGCCCCGGCUAACUACGUG